rnacentral:rRNA from 1 species
UACAGAGGGGGCAAGCGUUGUUCGGAAUUACUGGGCGUAAAGGGCGCGUAGGCGGUCUGCCAAGUCAGGCGUGAAAUUCCUGGGCUUAACCUGGGGGCUGCGCUUGAGACUGGUGGGCUAGAGGACGGAAGAGGGUCGUGGAAUUCCCAGUGUAGAGGUGAAAUUCGUAGAUAUUGGGAAGAACACCGGUGGCGAAGGCGGCGACCUGGUCCGUUACUGACGCUGAGGCGCGACAGCGUGGGGAGCAAACAGG